UAACUGAUAUUGGAAAAAUUGUAGAAAAAUCAUAAAAUGUCCAAAUCAGGUUCUGUAACUUCUGAGAGUUUGGAAAAUGAGUCUAGUUUGUUCAUAAUUUUUAUUAUAAUUUUUAAUGAUCUCUAACUUGGGUGAAAAAGUCCAUAAUCACAGACUGGUCCGGAUUGAUGUUUGAAAUGAUAGGCGGUUUUGUAAAAAUCACCAUAAAUUGUAGAAAAAUCGUAUGGAGAUGUGCAAGUAGUCAUUUUAAAGCUAAGAAGUGGAACUACAUGCACCUAAAACAGUUUUGAAAACAAAAAUAUUUAAGAUGUCCAAAACAGUCCGUGAAUGGAGUGAAACUUUUCUGAUGAAAGCUGUUAGAAGAAUGUAGUUAUGUUCUAAGCAUUUUAACUUGUAUUCCCCCCCUAAAAACUUGAGAAAACGUGAAAAUGUAGGGGUAUGAACUCACCUUGUGUGAUUUCAGUAGAUAAGUGAUGAAGAAGAGAAGUGUUCAACCCAAGAACACUAGAAGAACCGUUUGAAGAUUCGAAGCUCUAACACAAAUAUAAUGGAGUUUGUGUAAGAUAUCCAUGAUUUGAGUGGAAAUAAUAGAGGUAAUCAUAAAGGAAAUGGAUUAUGCUUACCAAAGGUGGAGGAAACUCUCAAGAUCAGCCCUUGAAUCUUGGAUUUCUAGAGAGAGAAAGUGAGAGAGAAAGGAGUUUGAUCUUCUUGUGAAAUGAGAACAAAUGAAAGAAAAAUGAGGAGAGAGGAUGAUUAUCCAGCCCUCCAAGCAUGGAGGUGGCUUGUGAGGGAGGUAAAAAGUACAAGGUAUGGUGAGGAGGAGUGUGGGUUGUCAUGGAGUGGGUGAGGGGGUUGCUUGCGUCAUAACUAAGGUAAGGUCAACACUUCUUCUUUUUGUACUUUACCAACUCCUUUUUAAAUAAGAUUUUACCCUUAAAAUGUGAUUAAAUCAUUAAUUUAGGGGUCUUAUAAUUAAAAAUAAAGUUUUGGGUGAAAACCCCAUGUUAAAACAAUUAAAAAUGGGUUUAAAACGCAAAAAUACGCAAAAAUGUGCGAAAUCCGAGCUGCCCCAGCGAGACCCUUCGGAUCUCGGCCGAGGCUCGGUCUCUGGGCCGAAGUUCGGUCAGAUGGGGGCUCGGCUCGGACGCGGGUGGCUGAGGCGGGGAGGCGAAAGGCGAAGCGAGCUCGGUCCGAUGUGAUGCAGUCCGAAGCGAAGUGGGAAACAAAGGCAGGUUCGGUCCGAAGGGAGGCCAGAACCGAAGGUACUGUAGUGAACAGUAAUGAACAGUAGCUUCGGUUCGGACCUUCCUUCCAAGUUGGGUUCGGUUCGGAUCUUCUUCCUUGCAUGGUUCGGUUCGGAUCUUCUUCCUUGCAUGGUUCGGUUCGGAUGAACAGUACUUUCGGUUCAGCUCAUGAACAGUACUUUCGGUUCGGACCCUCAUGAAUAGUGCUUUCGGUUCGGUUCAUGAAUAGUACUUUCGGUUCAGAGGGUUCGUUUCCUUAAGUCCGUUUUUCGCGUAGACUUCCGUUCUUGGGCUAUUUUUCGCCAAAUUCGAGGGUCGGGAUGCCCCGAGUGAUUAUGGAAAGUUGGGAGAGAUUUCGAGGGAGAUUUGGGAGAGAUUCCUCGUUCUCAGAGAGAUUUGGGAGAGAUUUGACGUACUUGGAGAGAUUUCGCAUACGAAGAGAUACGUGAGAGAGAUUUCACAUACUUAGAGAGAUUUGGGAGAGAUUUGACGUACUUGGAGAGAUUUCGCAUACGAAGAGAUACGUGAGAGAGAUUUCACAUACUUAGAGAGAUUUGGGAGAGAUUUGACAUACUUAGAGAGAUUUGGGAGAGAUUCGACGUACUUGGAGAGAUUUCGCAUACGAAGAGAUACGUGAGAGAGAUUUCACAUACUUAGAGAGAUUUGGGAGAGAUUUGACAUACUUGGAGAGAUUUGGGAGAGAUUUGGCAUACUUGGAGAGAUUUCGCAUACAAAGAGAUAUGUGAGAGAGAUUUCACAUACUUAGAGAGAUUUGGGAGAGAUUUGACAUUCUUGGAGAGAUUUGACAUACUUAGAGAGAUUUGGGAGAGAUUUGACAUACUUUUAGAGAUUUCACAUACUUAGAGAUAUGUGGGAGAGGUUUCACAUACUUAGAGAUAUGUGGGAGAGGUUUCACAUACUUAGAGACAUGUAGGAGAGGUUUCACAUGCUUAGAGAUAUGUGUGAGAGGUUUCACUGGUGACCUUUUUGAGUGUCCGGCCACGCACUGCAAGGUCCUUAAACCCAGUUAAGCCUUGAUUAGGGAUCUUGCAUACUCCCGAUGAGUAUGUAACAUUGUUUUAUCGGUUUGGCUCUCUACGUACCACUGUUUCAGGUUAAGGAGAUUUAGGUGAACGCACUUUUCAAUUUAUGAUCUCUCAUUAGAAUAGAGAGUUGUUUAGAAGUUACUUAACGUAAACUCUAGUACUCACGGCAAAUUGGGUUGACCGGUUUGACUUGUUGACUUUUGUUGACUUUGACUUGACCGAAAAUUGACGGUUGUCACACAACAAGGACUAAUCAUCGAACGUCAGACGAGCGAAACCAUUACAAGGAAGAAGCCAUGGAAUUUGCAUAAGAAAGGCUCAUAACCUUUCUCCGAAAACAUGUUCAUCAAUCACAUCAUAGAAAACAUACAAAAGAACAUGUGACAUGAGUGUGGAAGAGUCAUAAGCUUCCGCUAAUGAGAAAAGCAUAAUCAGGUGAGAGUUGGGAUACCAAAAUUCCUUUUUCUUUUGGUGUGGCUCGUCACUAGAAUAAUGGUGCCAAGGCAGAG
rnacentral:lncRNA from 1 species